UACGUAGGGGGCAAGCGUUGUCCGGAAUCAUUGGGCGUAAAGCGCGUGUAGGCGGCCAGAUAAGUCCGUUCUGAAAGCCCGGGGCUCAACCCCGGGAGGCGGAUGGAUACUGUUUGGCUCGAGUCCGGAAGAGGCGAGUGGAAUUCCCGGUGUAGCGGUGAAAUGCGCAGAUAUCGGGAGGAACACCAAUGGCGAAGGCAGCUCGCUGGGACGGUAUUGACGCUGAGACGCGAAAGCGUGGGGAGCAAACAGG
rnacentral:rRNA from 1 species